UUGCGUGACGAAAAACAAGGGAUGCAGCACCAGAUCGAGCGGAGAAAGAUAUAGCAAAAGACCUCUUAGUACUUUCUGGAA